rnacentral:lncRNA from 1 species
CGAAGGACCAAGCUGUCAUGGGAAUUUUCCUAUCCCAAUGAUAAUAAUUAACAAUCAAUAAGCCUUGACUAAUUCCCAAGGUUUGUAAGACACUGGGUAAAGAAUAAUUAGGCAAGGACUCAGCUUUCUGCAAAAGGUCUGUACAGUUUAUUCAGUGAACGUUCUGAAGUACAAUUACACAAAGAAGUUCAUUUUAUGCUCCCUCCCUGCUUACGCACAUACCUCCACACAAACAGUAGAUAUCCUACGCACACCCAUACACACGAACAGUAGGUGACUUCCCACCGCUGUUAAUCCCUAUCCUGUGCUGCCUGUUCCUUUCCCCCGAGAUUAGGGGGACCUUGAAGGUUACUCGCUGUUGCUUCCAAGCCUCUUCAGGUCGGGUCACACACACACAUGUCUACAGUUCCCUUAGGCCCACUAAUCACACACACACACACACACACAUUUAUCUCCCUUCCGGGUCACUACUAGACCUUAUGGGACUUCCGUUCAGUACUUCAAAUCAAAUCAAAUGUAUUUAUAUAGCCCUUCUUACAUCAGCUGAUAUCUCAAAGUGCUGUACAGAAACCCAGCCUAAAACCCCAAACAGCAAGCAAUGCAGGUGUAGAAGCACAGUGGCUAGGAAAAACUCCCUAGAAAGGCCAAAACCUAGGAAGAAACCUAGAGAGGAACCAGACUAUGAGGGGUGGCCAGUCCUCUUCUGGCUGUGCCGGGUGGAGAUUAUAACAGAACAUGGCCAAGAUGUUCAAAUGUUCAUAGAUGACCAGCAGGGUCAAAUAAUAAUAAUCACAGUGGUUGUCGAGGGUGCAAAAGGUCAGCACCUCAGGAGUAAAUGUCAGUUGGCUUUUCAUAGCCGGUCAUUCAGAGUAUCUCUACCACUCCUGCUGUCUCUAGGGAGUUGAAAACAGAAGGUCUGGGACAGGUAGCAUGUCCGGUGAACAGGUAGCAUGUCCGGUGAACAGGUCAGGGUUCCAUAGCCGCAGAAAGAACAGUUGGAACUGGAGCAGCAGCACGGCCAGGUGGACUGGGAACAGCAAGGAGCCAUCAGGUCAGGUAGUCCUGAGGCAUGGUCCUAGGGCUCAGGUCCUCCGAGAGAAAAAGAAAGAGCGAAAGACAGAAAGAAAGAGAGAAAAAGGGAGAGAGAGAAUUAGAGAGAGCAUACUUAAAUUCACACAGGACACUGGAUAAGACAGGAGAAAUACUCCAGAUAUAACAGACUGACCAAAGCCCCCCGACACAUAAACUACCGCGGCAUAAAUACUGGAGGCUGAGACAGGAGGGGUCGGGAAACACUAUGGCCAUGUCCGACGUGGCCAAACAGGCAGGAUAUAUCCCCACCCAUUUUGCCAAAGCACAUCUCCCACACCACUAGAGGGAUAUCUUCAAACACCAACUUACCAUCCUGAGACAAGGCAGAGUAUAGCCCACAAAGAUCUCCGCCACGGCACAACCCAGGGGGGGCGCCAACCUGGACAGGAAGAUCACGUCAGUGACUCAACCCACUCAAGUGACGCACCCCUCCUAGGGAUGGCAUGGAAGAGCACCAGUAAGCCAGUGACUCAGCCCCUGUAAAAGGGUUAGAGGCAGAGAAUCCCAGUGGAGAGAUGGGAACUGGCCAGGCAGAGACAGCAAGGGCGGUUUGUUGCUCCAGUGCCUGUCCGUUCACCUUCACACUCCUGGACCAGACUACACUCAAUCAUAGGACCUACUGAAGAGAUGAGUCUUCAAUAAAGACUUAAAGGCUGAGACCGAGUCUGCGUCUCUCACGUGGGUAGGCAGACCAUUCCAUAAAAAUGGAGCUCUAUAUUAAAAAGCCCUGACUCCAGCUGUUUGCUUAGAAAUUCUAGGGACAGUAAGGAGGCCUGCGUCUUGUGACCGUAGCGUACGUGUAGGUAUGUACGGCAGGACCAAAUCGGAAAGAUAGGUAGGAGCAAGCCCAUGUAAUGCUUUGUAGGUUAGCAGUAAAACCUUGAAAUCAGCCCUUGCCUUCACAGGAAGUCAGUGUAGAGAGGCUAACACUGGAGUAAUAUGAUCACAUUUUUUGGUUCUAGUCAAGAUUCUAGCAGCUGUGUUUAGCACUAACUGAAGUUUAUUUAGUGCUUUAUCCAAGUAGCCGGAAAGUAAAGCAUUGCAGUAGUCCAACCUAGAAGUAAUUUUUCUGCAUAAUUUUUGGACAGAAAGUUUCUGAUUUUUGCAAUGUUACGUAGAUGGAAAAAAGCUGUCCUUGAAACAGUCUUGAUAUGUUCGUCAAAAGAGAGAUCAGGGUCCAGAGUAACGCAGAGGCCCCUCACAGUUUUAUUUGAGAUGACUGUACAACCAUCAGGGUUAAUUGUCAGAUUCCAAAGAAGAUCUCUUUGUUUCUUGGGAACUAGAACAAUCAUUGUCUGUUUUGUCCGAGAUUAAAAGUAGAACAUUUGCAGCCAUCCACUUCCUUAUGUCUGAAACACAGGUGGAGGGCAAUUUUGGGGCUUCACCAUGUUUCAUUGAAAUGUACAUAACACAUCCUGACCCUGGUAUGAGGUCAUUUUUCCCUAGUAGAUUGGUCAGGGCGUGACAGGGGGGUGUUUUGUCUAUGUGUUUUGGGUUUUUUUUUUUCUAUGUGGGUUGUCUAGAGUUUCAUUCUAUGUUGUCAUUUUCUAUGUUGUGGCCAGGUAUGGUUUCCAAUCAGAGGCAGCUGUCUAUCGUUGUCUCUGAUUGGAAGCCAUACUUAGGCAGCCUGUUUUCCUUUGGGGUUUGUGGGUAGUUGUUUCCGUUUAGUCUAGAGUAUGUGACGGGUUUGUUGUUGGUUGUUUUGUUGUUUAAGUGUAUUCAUUAAAGAAACAGAAUGAGCACUAUACACGCUGCGUCUUGGUCUCCACUCAACAACCCCUGUGACAGUACAGCUGUGUGUCAUCCGCAUAGCAGUGAAAGUUAACAUUAUGUUACCGAAUGACAUCACCAAGAGGUAAAAUAUAUAGGGAAAACAAUAGUGGUCCUAAAACGGAACCUUGUGUCAAUGUGUCAAGAGAUAUAGUAUUAAAAAACUUGAGUCUCUCCCUUGAUCCUAGGUCCUGGCAGAGUUGUGCAGACUCAGGACAACUGAGCUUUGGAGGAAUACGCAGAUUUAAAGAGGAGUCCGUAAUUUGCUUUCUAAUGAUCAUGAUCUUUUUCUCAAAGAAGUUCAUGAAUUUAUCACUGCUGAAGUGAACGCCAUCCUCUCUUGGGGAAUGCUGCUUUUUAGUUAGCUUUGCGACAGUAUCAAAAAGACAUUUUGGAUUGUUCUUAUUUUCCUCAAUUAAGUUGGAAAAAUAGGAUGAUCGAGCAGCAGUGGGGCUCUUCGAUACUGCACGGUACUGUCUUUCCAAGCUAGUCGGAAGACUUCCAGUUUGGUGUAACGCCAUAUCCGUUCCAAUUUUCUGGAAGCUUGCUUCAGAGCUUGUGUAUUUUCUGUAUACCAGGGAGCUCAUUUUUUAUGACAAAUAUUUUUUGUUUUUAGGGGUGCGACUGCAUCUAGGCUAUUGCGCAAGGUUAAAUUGAGUUCCUCAGUUAGGUUAUUAACUGAUUUUGUACUCUGACUUCCUUAGGUAGGCGGAGGGAGUCUGGAAGGGCAUCUAGGAAUCUUUGGGUUGUCUGAGAAUUUAUAGCACGACUUUUGAUGAUCCUUGGUUGGGGUCUGAGCAGAUUAUUUGUUGCGAUUGCAAACAUAAUAAAAUGGUGAUCCGAUAGUCCAGGAUUAUGAGGAAAAACAUUAAGAUCCACAACAUUUAUUCCACGGGACAAAACUAGGUCCAGAGAAUGACUGUGGCAGUGAGUGGGUCCAGAGACAUGUUGCACAAAAGCCACUGAGUCGAUUAUGGCUCCGAAAGCCUUUUGGAGUGGGUCUGCGGACUUUUCCAUGUGAAUAUUAAAGUCACCAAAAAUUUGAAUAUUAUCUGCCAUGACUACAAGGUCCGAUAGGAAUUCAGUGAACUCAGUGAUGAACACUGUAUAUGGCCCAGGAGGCCUGUGAACAGUAGCUAUAAGAAGUGAUUGAGUAGGCUGCAUAGAUUUCAUGACUAGAAGCUCAAAAGACGAAAACAUCAGAGUUUUAUGUAAAUUGAAAUUUGCUAUCGUAAAUGUUAGCAGCAUCUCCGCCUUUGCGGGAUGCGUGGGGGAUAUGGUCACUAGUGUAACCAGGAGGUGAGGCCUCAUUUAACACAGUAAAUUCAUCAGGCUUAAGCCAUGUUUCAGUCAGGCCAAUCACAUCAAGAUUACGAUCAGUGAUUAGUUCAUUAUCUAUAACUGCCUUAGAAGUGAGGGAUCUAACAUUAAGUAGCCCUAUUUUGAGAUGUGAGGUAUCACAAUCUCUUUCAAUAAUGGCAGGAAUGGAGGAGGUCUUUAUUCUAGUGAGAUUGCUAAGGCGAACACCGCCAUGUUGAGUUUUUCCCAAAAUAGGUUGAGGCACAGACACGGUCUCAAUGGGGAUAGCUGAGCUGACUACACUGACUCUGCUAGUGGCAGACUCCAGUAAGCCGGCAGGCUGGCUAACAGCCUGCUGCCUGGCCUGCACCCUAUCUCAUUGUAGAGCUAGGGGAGUUAGAGCAUGGUCUAUGUUCAUAGAUAAGAUGAGAGCACUCCUCCAGCUAGGACGGAAUCUGUCACUCCUCAACAAGCCAGGCUUGAUCCUGUUUGUGUGUGAGUCCCAGAAAGAGGGCCAAUUAUCUAGAAAUUCUGUCUUUUGGGAGGGGCAGAAAACAGUUUUCAACCAGCGAUUGAGUUGUGAGACUCUGCUGUAGAGCUCAUCACUCCCCCUAACUGGGAGGGGGCUAGAGACAAUUACUCGAUGCCGACACAUCUUUUUAGCUGAUUUACACGCUGAAGCUAUGUUGCACUUGGUGACCUCUGACUGUUUCAUCCUAACAUCAUUGGUGCCGACGUGGAUAACAAUAUCCCUAUACUUUCUACACUCGCCAGUUUUAGCUUUAGCCAGCACCAUCUUCAUAUUAGCCUUAAAGUCGGUAGCCCUGCCCCCUGGUAAACAGUGUAUGAUCGCAGGAUGAUUUGUUUUAAGUCUAAUACUGUGGGUAAUGGAGUCGCCAAUGACUAGGGCUUUCAAUUUGUCAAUUUGUCACAGCAUUUCCUUCCAGAAGCCAUGAGAAAGUUGUCCGGCUGCGGGGACUGUGCGAGGGGAUUUAUGCUACUAUCUGUACUUACUGGUGGCACAGACACUGUUUCAUCCUUUCCUACACUUAAAUUACCCUUGCCUAACGAUUGCGUCUGAAGCUGGGCUUGCAGCACAGCUAUCCUCGCCGUAAGGCGAUCGUUCUCCUGUAUAUUAUGAGUACAGCGACUGCAAUUAGAAGGCAUCAUGUUAAUGUUACUACUUAGCUUCGGCUGGUGGAGGGCCUGACGAACCACUUCCAGAUAAAACCUCCAGAGUGAAAAAGUUGAAUGAAAAAAGUUGAGUGAGUGUAAAACAAAAAAUAUAAAAGGUAAUUAAAAAGUAAAAACCGUGAAGUUGGCAGGUAGCAAAGCAAGGUUAGCAACAAACGCACAGCAGCACGUAAACAAGUCUACAAGUUAUGACCGGAAGCUCUGAGAAACCUUCACUGGUUGUGGAGGCUCUAGUACCAUCACCAUCACUGGUCGUGAUGCUCCACAUACUCAACUAGUCUAAAGAAGGCCAGUUUUAUUGCCUCUUUAAUCAGAACAACAGUUUUCAGCUGUGCUAACAUAAUUGCAAAAGGGUUUUGUAAUGAUCAAUUAGCCUUUUAAAAUUAUAAACUUGGAUAAACUACACAACGUGCCAUUGGAACACAGGAG